rnacentral:rRNA from 1 species
UAAUGUGAAUUGCAGAAUUCAGUGAAUCAUUCGAAUCUUCGAACGCACCUUGCGCUCCUUGGUAUUCCGAGGAGCAUGCCUGUUUGAGUGUCAUC